UACGUAGGGCGCAAGCGUUAUCCGGAAUUAUUGGGCGUAAAGAGCUCGUAGGCGGUUUGUCGCGUCUGCCGUGAAAGUCCGGGGCUCAACUCCGGAUCUGCGGUGGGUACGGGCAGACUAGAGUGCAGUAGGGGAGACUGGAAUUCCUGGUGUAGCGGUGAAAUGCGCAGAUAUCAGGAGGAACACCGGUGGCGAAGGCGGGUCUCUGGGCCGAUAUUGACGCUGAGGAGCGAAAGCGUGGGGAGCAAACAGG
rnacentral:rRNA from 1 species